GUUGGGUGUUAUCCGGCAAACACCACCUUUCUCAGCCAACAGUGUAUCGAAUUUGAUUCUAUUUUGGAAAGCCAUAAUAGAUGUAGUGCUACGUUGCUCAUGUACGGCUUCAAGUCUUUCAAGGAUGAAAUUGCCCAAACGUUGCACAUUCUAUGUAUGUAAUUUAUACGGUCGACAUUUUCGUUGGGAGUAACAGGGGACAGAGCAUAAAUUACAGGUAUAUUUUCAAAACCGGCGACGACCUGAUCAGCCAAUUUAUACUCAUCUGGUACACCACGGGGGACGCCAAUAGGAUCAAUGUUGGUGGGGUCAUCAGCACCGAGCCAGGAGGCCAAAGUUACUACCGUGUGCCUUGUCCAACUAUCCAUGCGUGCCUUUCACCAAAGAGAAUUGUAACCCCAAACGUAAAAGAUGAUCUCAUGAAAAACGAAAAAGAUUGGGGUAUGUGGAAAGCCUGUUAGAAGAGCUCCAGAUCCUCGAUGUGGAUGCGGACCUCACGACUUCCUCUGCUGCCGCCCAAGCACCACCAUCUCUCAGCAGCCAGUACACAAAACCAAGCAAAGACUUAGCUAUCCGGGAUCAUUUUUCAUGUUUUUUCAAAUCAAAUGGAAAAAAUACUUUAGUUUUUUUUACCCCCUCUGAAACAGAACCUUUUUAUGGAUAACUGGCAGUAAUUCAAACACUCAUACUAGUAAAUUUGAGUUGA